UACGUAGGUGGCAAGCGUUAUCCGGAAUACUGGGCGUAAAGCGCACGCAGGCGGUCUGUUAAGUUUGACGUGAAAGCUCCCGGCUUAACUGGGAGAGGUCGUUGAAGACUGGCAGACUUGAGGCGAUGAGAGGGGUGUAGAAUUCCCGGUGUAGUGGUGGAAUGCGUAGAUAUCGGGGGGAAUACCAGUGGCGAAAGCGGCACCCUAGCGUUAGCCUGACGCUCAUGUGCGAAAGCGUGGGGAGCGAACGGG
rnacentral:rRNA from 1 species